CAAUUAUGUUGCUUUUGAUUCAGAUGCUGCAGUUAUUAAAGAAAAGGUCAAAUCAGCCCCUGCAAAGAAAGAUGCUGCAGUUAUUAAAGAAAAGGUGAAAUCAGCCCCUGCAAAGAAAGAAGCUGAAAUUCACAAAGAAAAUGCCAAAGCAGCUUCAUCAAAGAAAGAGUCCAAGGAAACUCAGGACGAAGCCAAACCAGAGCCUUCAAAAGAAGGUACAGAU